CCAGGACACACAUGGGCGAAUGAAUUCCCGGCCGCGUUAUCGCCCUUAGAGUUGAUCCUGGCUCCCGAUGAACGUUGGCGGCGUGCUUAACACAUGCAAGUCGAACGAAGCACCUUGAUUCGAUUCUUCGGAUGGAGAUCUAGGUGACUGAGUGGCGGACGGGUGAGUAACGCGUGGGUAACCUGCCUCAUACAGGGGGAUAACAGUUAGAAAUGACUGCUAAUACCGCAUAAGACCACAGCACCGCAUGGUGCAGGGGUGAAAACUCCGGUGGUAUGAGAUGGACCCGCGUCUGAUUAGGUAGUCGGUGGGGUAACGGCCUACCAAGCCAACGAUCAGUAGCCGACCUGAGAGGGUGACCGGCCACAUUGGGACUGAGACACGGCCCAAACUCCUACGGGAGGCAGCAGUGGGGAAUAUUGCACAAUGGGGGAAACCCUGAUGCAGCGACGCCGCGUGAGCGAUGAAGUAUUUCGGUAUGUAAAGCUCUAUCAGCAGGGAAGAAAAUGACGGUACCUGACUAAGAAGCACCGGCUAAAUACGUGCCAGCAGCCGCGGUAAUACGUAUGGUGCAAGCGUUAUCCGGAUUUACUGGGUGUAAAGGGAGCGUAGACGGAGUGGCAAGUCUGAUGUGAAAACCCGGGGCUCAACCCCGGGACUGCAUUGGAAACUGUCAAUCUACAGUACCGGAGAGGUAAGCGGAAUUCCUAGUGUAGCGGUGAAAUGCGUAGAUAUUAGGAGGAACACCAGUGGCGAAGGCGGCUUACUGGACGGUAACUGACGUUGAGGCUCGAAAGCGUGGGGAGCAAACAGGAUUAGAUACGCUGGUAGUCCACGCCGUAAACGAUGACUACUAGGUGUCGGGCAGCAAAGCUGUUCGGUGCCGCAGCAAACGCAAUAAGUAGUCCACCUGGGGAGUACGUUCGCAAGAAUGAAACUCAAAGGAAUUGACGGGGACCCGCACAAGCGGUGGAGCAUGUGGUUUAAUUCGAAGCAACGCGAAGAACCUUACCUGCUCUUGACAUCUCCCUGACCGGCAAGUAAUGUUGCCUUUCCUUCGGGACAGGGAUGACAGGUGGUGCAUGGUUGUCGUCAGCUCGUGUCGUGAGAUGUUGGGUUAAGUCCCGCAACGAGCGCAACCCCUAUCUUUAGCAGCCAGCGGUUCGGCCGGGCACUCUAGAGAGACUGCCAGGGAUAACCUGGAGGAAGGUGGGGAUGACGUCAAAUCAUCAUGCCCCUUAUGAGCAGGGCUACACACGUGCUACAAUGGCGUAAACAAAGGGAGGCAGAACCGCGAGGUCGAGCAAAUCCCAAAAAUAACGUCUCAGUUCGGAUUGUAGUCUGCAACUCGACUACAUGAAGCUGGAAUCGCUAGUAAUCGCGAAUCAGAAUGUCGCGGUGAAUACGUUCCCGGGUAAUAGUACACACGGCCCGUCAAGGGCGAAUUCGUUUAAACUAACCAGGACGAGUCCCUUUAGUGAGGUAAUUCUGGCUGUAGUCUGG
rnacentral:rRNA from 1 species